rnacentral:lncRNA from 1 species
CGCAUCAAUCACCGCCACCUGGGAGCAGGGAGGAAGGGACUGCAGGGCCCCCUCCUGCCAUGCCUCCAUUCCAGCACUGUCACUUGUCCCUGCUCCACUGGGCUCUCUGCCACCAGCCCUGGGAGACAGCACAGGGCUCAGUGAGCAGACAGGCUGUGAAAACUUGGACAACACAGCACAUCCCUUCUGUGAUGGGAAGGGCUGGAAAUGGAGCUGGCACCUGGCACUGCUGUAGGAGAUAGGGGGACCACUGGAGCUCAGCACAGCUUGAGGACAUGGGGCUGCCAGUCACACACCUGGAUGACCACCAUGCUUUCUCCAGCCAGAUUUUUUGGUGGAUGAGCAGUGCCUGGAUGCAUCUCCAGAGAUUAUGUGUUCAGAUGAUGCCAAUGGAGGGAUGAGGAUGGCAUGUGCCCUGGCCGACUUCAGCUGGGUGAGCUCCCAGCCUGGUUCCUGGGGAAGCUUGGGAGAACAGACAGCAGAGCGCAGCAUCACUGCUUCGUGGACCACAUGGAGCUGCUCUGAGUGCCACCCAACAUGCACAGCUGUCAUCCUGCUUUGCUGCAGGCAUUGGCCCAGUUCCAUUUGGCGUUGGCGGCAGUUCCCAGCCUGUGCAUUUUGAUGCGGAUUCUCCAACCACUUGUAAACUCUUAUAAGCGAGGAGGAAGGAGGUGGGAAGCACAGCGCCUUGCUGCAGGCAGGAGCAUGGCUGGGGAGCAGGGCAGGGAGCUGAGCCUGGCUGUCCUCAUCUCCUUAUCACUAAUAAAAUGGUGGGAAUGGCUGCUGUGGGCCCAGAGGUUAUCAGAGAUUGGUGAGUAUGGAAGGAAGGGAUGCAGAAGGACCCAACAGGGUGCAGUGCAGCAUGGGAGCAGCAGAAGGCAACAGGGGAAGGCAGCACGGGCAGUGCCAAUAUCACUCCCCUGCUCUCUGAAAACCCCAAUGAUCAGCCCCCUAUUUCGUGAAUACACAAUCCACUUGCAGCUUCCUAAAUAA